rnacentral:rRNA from 1 species
AAAUUGAAGAGUUUGAUCAUGGCUCAGAUUGAACGCUGGCGGCAGGCCUAACACAUGCAAGUCGAGCGGUAGCACAGAGAGCUUGCUCUCGGGUGACGAGCGGCGGACGGGUGAGUAAUGUCUGGGAAACUGCCUGAUGGAGGGGGAUAACUACUGGAAACGGUAGCUAAUACCGCAUAAUGUCGCAAGACCAAAGUGGGGGACCUUCGGGCCUCAUGCCAUCAGAUGUGCCCAGAUGGGAUUAGCUAGUAGGUGGGGUAACGGCUCACCUAGGCGACGAUCCCUAGCUGGUCUGAGAGGAUGACCAGCCACACUGGAACUGAGACACGGUCCAGACUCCUACGGGAGGCAGCAGUGGGGAAUAUUGCACAAUGGGCGCAAGCCUGAUGCAGCCAUGCCGCGUGUGUGAAGAAGGCCUUCGGGUUGUAAAGCACUUUCAGCGGGGAGGAAGGCGGUGAGGUUAAUAACCUCAUCGAUUGACGUUACCCGCAGAAGAAGCACCGGCUAACUCCGUGCCAGCAGCCGCGGUAAUACGGAGGGUGCAAGCGUUAAUCGGAAUUACUGGGCGUAAAGCGCACGCAGGCGGUCUGUCAAGUCGGAUGUGAAAUCCCCGGGCUCAACCUGGGAACUGCAUUCGAAACUGACAGGCUAGAGUCUUGUAGAGGGGGGUAGAAUUCCAGGUGUAGCGGUGAAAUGCGUAGAGAUCUGGAGGAAUACCGGUGGCGAAGGCGGCCCCCUUGACAAAGACUGACGCUCAGGUGCGAAAGCGUGGGGAGCAAACAGGAUUAGAUACCCUGGUAGUCCACGCCGUAAACGAUGUCGAUUUGGAGGUUGUGCCCUUGAGGCGUGGCUUCCGGAGCUAACGCGUUAAAUCGACCGCCUGGGGAGUACGGCCGCAAGGUUAAAACUCAAAUGAAUUGACGGGGGCCCGCACAAGCGGUGGAGCAUGUGGUUUAAUUCGAUGCAACGCGAAGAACCUUACCUGGUCUUGACAUCCACAGAACUUUCCAGAGAUGGAUUGGUGCCUUCGGGAACUGUGAGACAGGUGCUGCAUGGCUGUCGUCAGCUCGUGUUGUGAAAUGUUGGGUUAAGUCCCGCAACGAGCGCAACCCUUAUCCUUUGUUGCCAGCGGUUCGGCCGGGAACUCAAAGGAGACUGCCAGUGAUAAACUGGAGGAAGGUGGGGAUGACGUCAAGUCAUCAUGGCCCUUACGACCAGGGCUACACACGUGCUACAAUGGCAUAUACAAAGAGAAGCGACCUCGCGAGAGCAAGCGGACCUCAUAAAGUAUGUCGUAGUCCGGAUUGGAGUCUGCAACUCGACUCCAUGAAGUCGGAAUCGCUAGUAAUCGUAGAUCAGAAUGCUACGGUGAAUACGUUCCCGGGCCUUGUACACACCGCCCGUCACACCAUGGGAGUGGGUUGCAAAAGAAGUAGGUAGCUUAACCUUCGGGAGGGCGCUUACCACUUUGUGAUUCAUGACUGGGGUGAAGUCGUAACAAGGUAACCGUAGGGGAACCUGCGGUUGGAUCACCUCCUUA